rnacentral:rRNA from 1 species
AUUGAACGCUGGCGGCAUGCCUUACACAUGCAAGUCGAACGGCAGCAUGAUCUAGCUUGCUAGAUUGAUGGCGAGUGGCGAACGGGUGAGUAAUACAUCGGAACGUGCCCUGUAGUGGGGGAUAACUAGUCGAAAGAUUAGCUAAUACCGCAUACGACCUGAGGGUGAAAGUGGGGGACCGCAAGGCCUCAUGCUAUAGGAGCGGCCGAUGUCUGAUUAGCUAGUUGGUGAGGUAAAGGCUCACCAAGGCGACGAUCAGUAGCUGGUCUGAGAGGACGAUCAGCCACACUGGGACUGAGACACGGCCCAGACUCCUACGGGAGGCAGCAGUGGGGAAUUUUGGACAAUGGGCGAAAGCCUGAUCCAGCAAUGCCGCGUGUGUGAAGAAGGCCUUCGGGUUGUAAAGCACUUUUGUCCGGAAAGAAAUGGCUCUGGUUAAUACCUGGGGUCGAUGACGGUACCGGAGGAAUAAGAACCGGCUAACUACGUG